ACUUUGACACUUGUUCAUUUUUUUUUCCGACAUAAUAAUCCUCCUGGCCUUGGCUUCUAAACUUGUCUCAGCUUCAGAUCUCAGCCCUCUUCAGGACUUUUGUGUAGCAAUUAAUGAUACUAAACAUGGUGUUACGCAGUUUUUGUUAUUCGCAAGUUUUGCAAUGACCCAAAGCUUGCAAAAGCAGAAGACUUAAACCAUUCGGGGACCAACAAUGUGCAAUCAAAUUCUUAUUAAAUAAAAUAAGAGAUUGUUAGCAAGUUAAAUUAAAUAAAAUAUAUAUAUUUUUUAGAAGAUUUAGUAUUUAUUAGUAUAAUAUAUUUAGCAUUUAUUAGCAUAAAUUAUUUGACCUACGAAUUUAGCCUAUAAAUAAGCUCUUUUAUAACCUUAGGAAAAACACUCAUUUAAAUAUUAGAAUUCAUAGUACUUUUCAAUAA